AAAACCCAUAUUUAUGACAUUCAUAAAUUGACUACCAUGUUGAUUUGCUUCCACAAAUCUUCAAUAUAAAAUGAGUUGGAUGAUAUACCUUUCUCAUUAUCAUGAGUUUUGUGAUAUUUAUUGAACAUUUAUUACUUGAGAAGAUAAAGCUGUCUCGAGACAUAUUAUAGGAAAGCGAAAGAAAUUAUUAGAUUUAUGCAUGAGAUCUGUUUGUUUUUAUCAUAUCUUAGAGAAAGAAGCCAUUAUUAUGUCAGAAUGCCCUGAGGUGCGUGACUGUCCUUACUAUGUUAAUAUAUGAAUUGUUCUUUCUCAUUAAGACAUUUCAGCUGAAGAUAAAUGUAAGUGCAAUUCAUUGGCAUUGCAUUUAAUAAUCUAAAAGAAAAAGAGUUUGGAGAGUAGUCAGGAUUUCUUGACUUACUUUUACUUAUUUAUUAAAACUAACUUAAUAGAAAUGUACUUAUUUUUUAAACUAUUCCAGAAAUAACUUUAAGUUGCAGAUAUAAAUGACGCCCAGCUUGAAUUUAUUGUUCUGUGUAUGAUUAUUCUGAAAAUGCAUCAAUUACUACACUGACACAUCACUUCCCAAAGCGUGUUCCAGAGCACACUAGUUAGAAUGCUCACUGUUGUUGCAUAUACACAUUCAAAUGCAUCACACUGGUAGGGAGUUUAAGAAACACUAGAUCAACCUCCAGAGGGUCUCGUAGCCUUCAGUAUGUUAAAACACAGUAUGAGUCGCCAAGGGGAAAUACGCUGUAUAAUGUAUUCUCUGCACAGUACUUCGCGAAUGUUCUUGAGUAUAGACCAGAACCUCUUUUCGUGGAGCAGUUUGGAAAAUCUGAGUUCCAAGGAACAUAUUUUGGGAAACAUAUGAUACAAUGGUUAUUCAAGCCUGACCAGGAAAAACAAAAGAUUCAUUCAGCCCCAAAACCAAUUAUUGUGGAACCAACCAAACUGAACUGCAUUGUCAGGAAAAAAUUCCCUCCCUUCCUCCACCUCCCACAAAAAUUAGCUUUAGUGUAAUCUGAUUUUGCAGAGUCAGGGCUGAUGAAAAUAUUCAACAUGGCGUAACAGGCUGGUUUCUCAAGGGCUGGUGAAUGUCCUUUUAACUCUAUGCUAAAUUGAUUUUUCUUUUCCAUGUUUGAAAAAUUGAGAUAACGUCAACCAAUGUAUGAGAAAUUUAGGACAUUUUGAAGGAUUUGAGUAUCACACUUUUUUUCUGAUUAUCUAUUGAUGAAUGGAUAUAAAAGAGGCACCUUCAAUUGUCAAAGGAAUCUUUACUUUUAAUCACCAAAGAGCAACAAAUUCAGGGCAAAAACGUCAAUAGCUAAAGGGAGCAAUUCACUCACCAACGUAAGGACUUUCAUCUCCACGACAAAAGCACAGAUAAAUGAUCUAUUGCUGAAACCUCAGAAGGCAGACAGACACCCAUAAGGGAAAGAUUUGCCCUGAGCUAACAUCUGUUGCCAGUCUUCCUCCCGAAAGCCCCAGCACAUGGCUGUCUAUCUGGUUGAGAUGGUUCUAAUAAGAAUGCUUCCUGAACUAUGGAUAAGAACAAGAUGCUAUCUUAGCCCUAAUAGACGCACAAAAUCCCGCCUCUGUGUGAUCCAGGCUAUCACCCUUCAG